UACGUAGGGUGCAAGCGUUAAUCGGAAUACUGGGCGUAAAGCGUGCGCAGGCGGUGAUGUAAGACAGAUGUGAAAUCCCCGGGCUCAACCUGGGAACUGCAUUUGUGACUGCAUCGCUGGAGUACGGCAGAGGGGAUGGAAUUCCGCGUGUAGCAGUGAAAUGCGUAGAUAUGCGGAGGAACACCGAUGGCGAAGGCAAUCCCCUGGGCCUGUACUGACGCUCAUGCACGAAAGCGUGGGGAGCGAAACAAGG
rnacentral:rRNA from 1 species